rnacentral:rRNA from 1 species
AGAGUUUGAUCCUGGCUCAGAGUGAACGCUGGCGGCGUGCUUAACACAUGCAAGUCGAACGGUAACAGGAAAUAGCUUGCUAUUUUGCUGACGAGUGGCGCACGGGUGAGUAAACUAUAGUUAAUGUACCCCAAAGACUGGGAUAGCCACUGGAAACGGUGAUUAAUACUAGAUACACCUUCUUAUCACAAGGUAAGAAGGGAAAUGUCUUUUCGCUUUGGGAUCAGACUAUAUCCUAUCAGCUAGUUGGUGAGGUAAUGGCUCACCAAGGCAAUGACGGGUAGCGGUUCUGAGAGGAUGAUCCGCCACACUGGUACUGAGACACGGACCAGACUCCUACGGGAGGCAGCAGUGAGGAAUAUUGCACAAUGGGGGGAACCCUGAUGCAGCAACGCCGCGUGGAGGAUGACGCAUUUCGGUGUGUAAACUCCUUUUAUAUGUCAAGAAAA